rnacentral:rRNA from 1 species
UACGUAGGGGGCAAGCGUUGUCCGGAAUUAUUGGGCGUAAAGAGCGUGUAGGCGGUCCGGUAAGUCAGCUGUGAAAGUCAAGGGCUCAACCCUUGAAUGCCGGUUGAUACUGUCGGGCUUGAGUCCGGAAGAGGCGAGUGGAAUUCCCGGUGUAGCGGUGAAAUGCGCAGAUAUCGGGAGGAACACCAAUGGCGAAGGCAGCUCGCUGGGACGGUACUGACGCUGAGACGCGAAAGCGUGGGGAGCAAACAGG